GCAUAUCAAUAAGCGGAGGAAAAGAAACCAACAGGGAUUGCCUUAGUAACGGCGAGUGAAGCGGCAACAGCUCAAAUUUGAAAGCUGGCCCUUUCAGGGUCCGCAUUGUAAUUUGUAGAGGAUGAUUCGGCGAGGGCUCCCGCCUAAGUCCCCUGGAACGGGGCGUCAUAGAGGGUGAGAAUCCCGUAUGUGGUGGGUUGCCUUAGCCAUGUGAAUCUCCUUCGACGAGUCGAGUUGUUUGGGAAUGCAGCUCUAAAUUGGAGGUAAAUUUCUUCUAAAGCUAAAUACCGGCCAGAGACCGAUAGCGCACAAGUAGAGUGAUCGAAAGAUGAAAAGCACUUUGGAAAGAGAGUUAAAAAGUACGUGAAAUUGUUGAAAGGGAAGCGCUUGCAACCAGACUUGUCCGCAGUUGCUCAGCCGGUCUCCUGACCGGCGUACUCUUCUGCGGCCAGGCCAGCAUCAGUUCGGGCGGUCGGAUAAAGACCUCGGGAAUGUAGCUCCUCUCGGGGAGUGUUAUAGCCCGGGGUGGAAUGCGGCCAGCCUGGACUGAGGAUCUCGCUUCGGCAUGGAUGCUGGCGUAAUGGUUGUAAGCGGCCCGUCUUGAAACACGGACC
rnacentral:rRNA from 1 species